AAGGCUUUAGCUUAAUUAAAGUGUCUGUUUUGCAUGCAGUAGAUGUGAGUUAAUAUCUCAUAAGUCUUA
rnacentral:tRNA from 1 species